GUAUGGGCGCAGGCCUGAACCAGCCAGUAGCGUGAAGGAUGACUGCCCUAUCNGGUUGUAAACUUCUUUUAUAAAGGAAUAAAGUCGGGUAUGUAUACCCGUUUGCAUGUACUUUAUGAAUAAGGAUCGGCUAACUCCGUGCCAGCAGCCGCGGUAAUACGGAGGAUCCGAGCGUUAUCCGGAUUUAUUGGGUUUAAAGGGUGCGUAGGCGGCCUUUUAAGUCAGCGGUGAAAGUCUGUGGCUCAACCAUAGAAUUGCCGUUGAAACUGGGGGGCUUGAGUAUGUUUGAGGCAGGCGGAAUGCGUGGUGUAGCGGUGAAAUGCAUAGAUAUCACGCAGAACCCCGAUUGCGAAGGCAGCCUGCCAAGCCAUUACUGACGCUGAUGCACGAAAGCGUGGGGAUCAAACAGGAUUAGAUACCCUGGUAGUCCAAGGGCGAAUUC
rnacentral:rRNA from 1 species